GAUGAACGCUGGCGGCGUGCCUAAUACAUGCAAGUCGAGCGAGGACCACCUGGUGGCAACACCGGGUGACUCCUAGCGGCGAACGGGUGAGUAACACGUGGGCAACCUGCCCCCGACUCUGGGAUAAGCCCGGGAAACUGGGUCUAAUACCGGAUACGAGCCUCCUCCCCAUGGUGGAGGUUGGAAAGGGUCUCCGGUCGGGGAUGGGCCCGCGGCCUAUCAGCUUGUUGGUGGGGUGACGGCCCACCAAGGCGACGACGGGUAGCCGGCCUGAGAGGGUGAACGGCCACACUGGGACUGAGACACGGCCCAGACUCCUACGGGAGGCAGCAGUAGGGAAUCUUGCGCAAUGGGCGAAAGCCUGACGCAGCGACGCCGCGUGCGGGACGAAGGCCCUCGGGUUGUAAACCGCUUUCAGCAGGGACGAAGCUAACGUGACGGUACCUGCAGAAGAAGUUCCGCCCAAUUACGUGCCAGCAGCCGCGGUAAUACGUAGGGACCGAGCGUUGUCCGGAUUCAUUGGGCGUAAAGAGCUCGUAGGCGGCCACUCAAGUCGAAUGUGAAACNUCGAGGCUCAACUUCGAGCCUGCAUUCGAUACUGGGCGGCUAGAGUCUGGUAGGGGGAUCUGGAAUUCCUGGUGUAGCGGUGGAAUGCGCAGAUAUCAGGAGGAACACCGGUGGCGAAGGCGGGAUCCUGGGCCAGUACUGACGCUGAGGAGCGAAAGCGUGGGGAGCAAACAGGAUUAGAUACCCUGGUAGUCCACGCCGUAAACGAUGGGCGCUAGGUGUGGGAGGUCAUCGACUCCUUCCGUGCCGCAGCUAACGCAUUAAGCG
rnacentral:rRNA from 1 species